rnacentral:rRNA from 1 species
UACGGGGGGAGCAAGCGUUGUUCGGAUUUACUGGGCGUAAAGGGCGCGUAGGCGGUCAGCACAAGUCAGUUGUGAAAUCUCCGGGCUUAACCCGGAAAGGUCAACUGAUACUGUGCGACUAGAGUGCGGAAGGGGCAACUGGAAUUCUCGGUGUAGCGGUGAAAUGCGUAGAUAUCGAGAGGAACACCUGCGGCGAAGGCGGGUUGCUGGGCUGAUACCGACGCUGAGGCGCGAAAGCCAGGGGAGCGAACGGG